rnacentral:pre_miRNA from 1 species
CGUUUGAAGCCUCCGAACAACCACAAUAUUUUAGACGAGUCUCCUAUUUUUUAGGGACUAAUGUCAUUUUUUGACGUGUCUCCUAUGAAUAUUGUUUGUCGACA